GGUUAAGCGACUAAGCGUACACGGUGGAUGCCCUGGCAGUCAGAGGCGAUGAAGGACGUGCUAAUCUGCGAUAAGCGCCGGUAAGGUGAUAUGAACCGUUAUAACCGGCGAUUUCCGAAUGGGGAAACCCAGUGUGAUUCGUCACACUAUCAUUAACUGAAUCCAUAGGUUAAUGAGGCGAACCGGGGGAACUGAAACAUCUAAGUACCCCGAGGAAAAGAAAUCAACCGAGAUUCCCCCAGUAGCGGCGAGCGAACGGGGAGGAGCCCAGAGCCUGAAUCAGCAUGUGUGUUAGUGGAAGCGUCUGGAAAGGCGCGCGAUACAGGGUGACAGCCCCGUACACAAAAGCGCAUGUGCUGUGAGCUCGAUGAGUAGGGCGGGACACGUGGUAUCCUGUCUGAAUAUGGGGGGACCAUCCUCCAAGGCUAAAUACUCCUGACUGACCGAUAGUGAACCAGUACCGUGAGGGAAAGGCGAAAAGAACCCCGGCGAGGGGAGUGAAAAAGAACCUGAAACCGUGUACGUACAAGCAGUGGGAGCACCCUUCGGGGUGUGACUGCGUACCUUUUGUAUAAUGGGUCAGCGACUUAUAUUCUGUAGCAAGGUUAACCGUAUAGGGGAGCCGGAGGGAAACCGAGUCUUAAUUGGGCGUUAAGUUGCAGGGUAUAGACCCGAAACCCGGUGAUCUAGCCAUGGGCAGGUUGAAGGUUGGGUAACACUAACUGGAGGACCGAACCGACUAAUGUUGAAAAAUUAGCGGAUGACCUGUGGCUGGGGGUGAAAGGCCAAUCAAACCGGGAGAUAGCUGGUUCUCCCCGAAAGCUAUUUAGGUAGCGCCUCGUGAAUUCAUCUCCGGGGGUAGAGCACUGUUUCGGCUAGGGGGCCAUCCCGGCUUACCAACCCGAUGCAAACUGCGAAUACCGGAGAAUGUUAUCACGGGAGACACACGGCGGGUGCUAACGUCCGUCGUGAAGAGGGAAACAACCCAGACCGCCAGCUAAGGUCCCAAAGUCAUGGUUAAGUGGGAAACGAUGUGGGAAGGCCCAGACAGCCAGGAUGUUGGCUUAGAAGCAGCCAUCAUUUAAAGAAAGCGUAAUAGCUCACUGGUCGAGUCGGCCUGCGCGGAAGAUGUAACGGGGCUAAACCAUGCACCGAAGCUGCGGCAGCGAACGUAUCACCCAAGACAACUUUACGGAGUUGACGAUUGACGGAGCGAAGCGACGUCAAAGCGUUCAUUAAAGUCGAGUUGGCUUAGGGAUACGUUCGUUGGGUAGGGGAGCGUUCUGUAAGCCUGUGAAGGUGUGUCGUGAGGCAUGCUGGAGGUAUCAGAAGUGCGAAUGCUGACAUAAGUAACGAUAAAGCGGGUGAAAAGCCCGCUCGCCGGAAGACCAAGGGUUCCUGUCCAACGUUAAUCGGGGCAGGGUGAGUCGACCCCUAAGGCGAGGCCGAAAGGCGUAGUCGAUGGGAAACGGGUUAAUAUUCCCGUACUUGGUGUUACUGCGAAGGGGGGACGGAGAAGGCUAUGUUGGCCGGGCGACGGUUGUCCCGGUUUAAGCGUGUAGGUGUGUGUUCCAGGUAAAUCCGGUUCACUUUAACACUGAGGCGUGACGACGAGGCACUACGGUGCUGAAGCAACAAAUGCCCUGCUUCCAGGAAAAGCCUCUAAGCAUCAGGUAACACGAAAUCGUACCCCAAACCGACACAGGUGGUCAGGUAGAGAAUACCAAGGCGCUUGAGAGAACUCGGGUGAAGGAACUAGGCAAAAUGGUGCCGUAACUUCGGGAGAAGGCACGCUGACACGUAGGUGAAGUGAUUUACUCAUGGAGCUGAAGUCAGUCGAAGAUACCAGCUGGCUGCAACUGUUUAUUAAAAACACAGCACUGUGCAAACACGAAAGUGGACGUAUACGGUGUGACGCCUGCCCGGUGCCGGAAGGUUAAUUGAUGGGGUCAGCGCAAGCGAAGCUCCUGAUCGAAGCCCCGGUAAACGGCGGCCGUAACUAUAACGGUCCUAAGGUAGCGAAAUUCCUUGUCGGGUAAGUUCCGACCUGCACGAAUGGCGUAAUGAUGGCCAGGCUGUCUCCACCCGAGACUCAGUGAAAUUGAACUCGCUGUGAAGAUGCAGUGUACCCGCGGCAAGACGGAAAGACCCCGUGAACCUUUACUAUAGCUUGACACUGAACAUUGAGCCUUGAUGUGUAGGAUAGGUGGGAGGCUUUGAAGUGUGGACGCCAGUCUGCAUGGAGCCGACCUUGAAAUACCACCCUUUAAUGUUUGAUGUUCUAACGUGGACCCGUAAUCCGGGUUGCGGACAGUGUCUGGUGGGUAGUUUGACUGGGGCGGUCUCCUCCUAAAGAGUAACGGAGGAGCACGAAGGUUGGCUAAUCCUGGUCGGACAUCAGGAGGUUAGUGCAAUGGCAUAAGCCAGCUUGACUGCGAGCGUGACGGCGCGAGCAGGUGCGAAAGCAGGUCAUAGUGAUCCGGUGGUUCUGAAUGGAAGGGCCAUCGCUCAACGGAUAAAAGGUACUCCGGGGAUAACAGGCUGAUACCGCCCAAGAGUUCAUAUCGACGGCGGUGUUUGGCACCUCGAUGUCGGCUCAUCACAUCCUGGGGCUGAAGUAGGUCCCAAGGGUAUGGCUGUUCGCCAUUUAAAGUGGUACGCGAGCUGGGUUUAGAACGUCGUGAGACAGUUCGGUCCCUAUCUGCCGUGGGCGCUGGAGAACUGAGGGGGGCUGCUCCUAGUACGAGAGGACCGGAGUGGACGCAUCACUGGUGUUCGGGUUGUCAUGCCAAUGGCACUGCCCGGUAGCUAAAUGCGGAAGAGAUAAGUGCUGAAAGCAUCUAAGCACGAAACUUGCCCCGAGAUGAGUUCUCCCUGAGACUUAGAGUCUCCUGAAGGAACGUUGAAGACGACGACGUUGAUAGGCCGGGUGUGUAAGCGCAGCGAUGCGUUGAGCUAACCGGUACUAAUGAACCGUGAGGCUUAACCUUAC
rnacentral:rRNA from 1 species